CCAAGCUGAGACCAGCCUCAUACCCCAACCUUGGGGAGCUCUCUCCAGCCUCCUCAACCUCCAGACUUCUAAGGGUCCCAUCUGGCUCCUCUUCAGUCAUGUCCAGCUGACGGCCCUGCUGGGGGAGCCAGGCGAGAGGCUCAUGGGAACUUGCUGGGCUGUCCACAUCCUCUGCUUCAGCCUCUGGAAAGACAGGCCAUUCACUUCUUAGCAUAUACCAGCCCAGGCCCAGUGCCGCCGCCGGGGACCCUUCCCCAGGCCAGGCUCAACCCAGCAGAUCUCAGUCUCCGAGCUGGCCAUCGGGGUUGGCCUGAGCUUCACCUGGGCCACUUCAUCUUCAGGAGACAGAGCUGCUGCCAGGGGCCCCAGAGUCACCGCUGGCUCCUGUCGGCAUCGGCCAUCCUGCCUGUGCCCUGUCAGGAACACAUUCAAGAAAUAUCAUUAAUUCUCCUGAUUCCCUCUUUUAUUUGGAACAAGAAGUUACCAGCAGAACUCUGGAAUUAGCCCCGGUUCAACUUCUGGCUGCGUCCUCCCAAAGCUGUGUGACCUUGGGCAAGUCACUCUGCUUUCAUUUUCUUCAUCAAUAAAGCUGGGAUAAUAAUUCCUUUCUCCCUC